rnacentral:rRNA from 1 species
UACGGAAGGGGCUAGCGUUGGUCGGAAUUACUCGGCGUAAAGAGCGUGUAGGCGGCUUACCAAGUUGGGGGUGAAAUCCCGGAUCUCAACUUCGGAACUGCCUUCAAAACUGGUAGGACCGAGUCCGGAAGAGGGGCGUGGAAUUUCCAGUAUAGAGGUUAAAUUCGUAGAUAUUGGGAACAACACCGGUGGCGAAGGCGUCGCCCUGGUCCGGUACUGACUCUGAGGCGCGAAAGCGUUGGGAGCAAACAGG